rnacentral:rRNA from 1 species
AUGCCCACGGUACUGAGAGCCCCGAGGGUGGUGGCCAUCCUGGCCGUGGUCCUGGCGACGGCGCUCGCCCCUGCCGUGAACGCCCAGCAGUGCGGCUUGCAAGCUGGUGGCGCGACGUGCGCAAACUGUCUCUGCUGCAGCAAAUUUGGGUACUGCGCGGCUGCGGCGCCCUACUGCGGCGCGGGCUGCCAGAGCCAGCGCAGCGGCUGCGGCGGUAGCCCCUCCCCCGGCGAUCACGGCGUGUCGUCCAUCCUAUCUAGGGACCUCUUCGAGUGGCUCCUCCUCCACCGCAACGACCACCAAGAGGCCUGCGGUUUCUACACCUUCCACACUGCCGCCGCGGCGUUCUUGUCAUUCGGCAUCACGGGGAGCACGGAGACGCGGAAGCCGGAGGUGGCGGCCUUCCUCGGGCAGACCUCCCACGAGACCACUGGCGGGUGCCCCGCGGCGCCCGACGGACCGUACGCCAGGGGCUACUGCUUCAAGCAAGAGCAGGGCUCGCCGGGAAGCUACUGCGACCCAAAGCCGGAGUGGCCGUGCGCGUCGGGCAAGAAGUACUACUACGGUCGCGGACCCAUCCAGCUCUCAUGGAACUACAACUAUAGCCCCGCAGGGCGUGCCAUCGGGGUGGACCUGUUCAACAACCCAGACCUGGUGGCCACGGACGCAACGGUGUCGUUUAAGACGGCGUUGUGGUUUUGGAUGACGGCCCAGGCGAACAAGCCGUCGUCCCAUGACAUGAUCACAGGCCAAUGGACCCCAUCGGGCACGAACAACGCCGCCAGCCAUGUGCCUGGGUACGGCGUCAUCACCAACAUCAUCAACGGCGGGCUCGAGUGCGGUAGGGGGCAGGAUGACCGUGUUGCUAACCGAAUCGGGUUCUACAAGCGCUACUGCGAUGUCCUCGGUGUUGGCUACGGUAACAACCUCGACUGCUACAACCAGAGGCCCUUCAACAGUGGGCUCACGGUGGGGCUUGCGUCACGGUGGUCCUCCAUGCAUGAAUGUAUGAACGUGAUCACCGAUCAAUAA